rnacentral:rRNA from 1 species
GACGAACGCUGGCGGCGUGCUUAACACAUGCAAGUCGAACGGAAAGGCCCUGCUUUUGUGGGGUGCUCGAGUGGCGAACGGGUGAGUAACACGUGAGUAACCUGCCCUUGACUUUGGGAUAACUUCAGGAAACUGGGGCUAAUACCGGAUAGGAGCUACUGCUGCAUGGUGGGGGUUGGAAAGUUUCGGCGGUUGGGGAUGGACUCGCGGCUUAUCAGCUUGUUGGUGGGGUAGUGGCUUACCAAGGCUUUGACGGGUAGCCGGCCUGAGAGGGUGACCGGCCACAUUGGGACUGAGAUACGGCCCAGACGCCUACGGGAGGCAGCAGUGGGGAAUAUGGCACAAUGGGCGGAAGCCUGAUGCAGCAACGCCGCGUGCGGGAUGACGGCCUUCGGGUUGUAAACCACUUUCUCCUGUGACGAAGCGUGAGUGACGGUAAUGGGUAAGGAAGCACCGGCUAGCUACGUG